rnacentral:rRNA from 1 species
GACGAACGCUGGCGGCGUGCUUAACACAUGCAAGUCGAACGGAAAGGCCCUGCUUUUGUGGGGUGCUCGAGUGGCGAACGGGUGAGUAACACGUGAGUAACCUGCCCUUGACUUUGGGAUAACUUCAGGAAACUGGGGCUAAUACCGGAUAUGAGCUCCUGCUGCAUGGUGGGGGUUGGAAAGUUUCGGCGGUUGGGGAUGGACUCGCGGCUUAUCAGCUUGUUGGUGGGGUAGUGGCUUACCAAGGCUUUGACGGGUAGCCGGCCUGAGAGGGUGACCGGCCACAUUGGGCCUGAGAUACGGCCCAGACUCCUACGGGAGGCAGCAGUGGGGAAUAUUGCACAAUGGGCGGAAGCCUGAUGCAGCAACGCCGCGUGCGGGAUGACGGCCUUCGGGUUGUAAACCGCUUUCGCCUGUGACGAAGCGUGAGUGACGGUAAUGGGUAAAGAAGCACCGGCUAACUACGUG